rnacentral:rRNA from 1 species
UUAAGCGACUAAGCGUACACGGUGGAUGCCCUGGCAGUCAGAGGCGAUGAAGGACGUGCUAAUCUGCGAUAAGCGUCGGUAAGGUGAUAUGAACCGUUAUAACCGGCGAUUUCCGAAUGGGGAAACCCAGUGUGUUUCGACACACUAUCAUUAACUGAAUCCAUAGGUUAAUGAGGCGAACCGGGGGAACUGAAACAUCUAAGUACCCCGAGGAAAAGAAAUCAACCGAGAUUCCCCCAGUAGCGGCGAGCGAACGGGGAGCAGCCCAGAGCCUGAAUCAGUGUGUGUGUUAGUGGAAGCGUCUGGAAAGGCGCGCGAUACAGGGUGACAGCCCCGUACACAAAAAUGCACAUGCUGUGAGCUCGAUGAGUAGGGCGGGACACGUGGUAUCCUGUCUGAAUAUGGGGGGACCAUCCUCCAAGGCUAAAUACUCCUGACUGACCGAUAGUGAACCAGUACCGUGAGGGAAAGGCGAAAAGAACCCCGGCGAGGGGAGUGAAAAAGAACCUGAAACCGUGUACGUACAAGCAGUGGGAGCACGCUUAGGCGUGUGACUGCGUACCUUUUGUAUAAUGGGUCAGCGACUUAUAUUCUGUAGCAAGGUUAACCGAAUAGGGGAGCCGAAGGGAAACCGAGUCUUAACUGGGCGUUAAGUUGCAGGGUAUAGACCCGAAACCCGGUGAUCUAGCCAUGGGCAGGUUGAAGGUUGGGUAACACUAACUGGAGGACCGAACCGACUAAUGUUGAAAAAUUAGCGGAUGACUUGUGGCUGGGGGUGAAAGGCCAAUCAAACCGGGAGAUAGCUGGUUCUCCCCGAAAGCUAUUUAGGUAGCGCCUCGUGAAUUCAUCUCCGGGGGUAGAGCACUGUUUCGGCAAGGGGGUCAUCCCGACUUACCAACCCGAUGCAAACUGCGAAUACCGGAGAAUGUUAUCACGGGAGACACACGGCGGGUGCUAACGUCCGUCGUGAAGAGGGAAACAACCCAGACCGCCAGCUAAGGUCCCAAAGUCAUGGUUAAGUGGGAAACGAUGUGGGAAGGCCCAGACAGCCAGGAUGUUGGCUUAGAAGCAGCCAUCAUUUAAAGAAAGCGUAAUAGCUCACUGGUCGAGUCGGCCUGCGCGGAAGAUGUAACGGGGCUAAACCAUGCACCGAAGCUGCGGCAGCGACGCUUAUGCGUUGUUGGGUAGGGGAGCGUUCUGUAAGCCUGCGAAGGUGUGCUGUGAGGCAUGCUGGAGGUAUCAGAAGUGCGAAUGCUGACAUAAGUAACGAUAAAGCGGGUGAAAAGCCCGCUCGCCGGAAGACCAAGGGUUCCUGUCCAACGUUAAUCGGGGCAGGGUGAGUCGACCCCUAAGGCGAGGCCGAAAGGCGUAGUCGAUGGGAAACAGGUUAAUAUUCCUGUACUUGGUGUUACUGCGAAGGGGGGACGGAGAAGGCUAUGUUGGCCGGGCGACGGUUGUCCCGGUUUAAGCGUGUAGGCUGGUUUUCCAGGCAAAUCCGGAAAAUCAAGGCUGAGGCGUGAUGACGAGGCACUACGGUGCUGAAGCAACAAAUGCCCUGCUUCCAGGAAAAGCCUCUAAGCAUCAGGUAACAUCAAAUCGUACCCCAAACCGACACAGGUGGUCAGGUAGAGAAUACCAAGGCGCUUGAGAGAACUCGGGUGAAGGAACUAGGCAAAAUGGUGCCGUAACUUCGGGAGAAGGCACGCUGAUAUGUAGGUGAAGCGACUUGCUCGUGGAGCUGAAAUCAGUCGAAGAUACCAGCUGGCUGCAACUGUUUAUUAAAAACACAGCACUGUGCAAACACGAAAGUGGACGUAUACGGUGUGACGCCUGCCCGGUGCCGGAAGGUUAAUUGAUGGGGUCAGCGCAAGCGAAGCUCUUGAUCGAAGCCCCGGUAAACGGCGGCCGUAACUAUAACGGUCCUAAGGUAGCGAAAUUCCUUGUCGGGUAAGUUCCGACCUGCACGAAUGGCGUAAUGAUGGCCAGGCUGUCUCCACCCGAGACUCAGUGAAAUUGAACUCGCUGUGAAGAUGCAGUGUACCCGCGGCAAGACGGAAAGACCCCGUGAACCUUUACUAUAGCUUGACACUGAACAUUGAGCCUUGAUGUGUAGGAUAGGUGGGAGGCUUUGAAGUGUGGACGCCAGUCUGCAUGGAGCCGACCUUGAAAUACCACCCUUUAAUGUUUGAUGUUCUAACGU